UACGAAGGGGGCGAGCGUUGUUCGGAUUUACUGGGCGUAAAGGGCGCGCAGGCGGCGCAUUUUGUCAGGCGUGAAAGCCCCGGGCUUAACCUGGGAACUGCGUUUGAUACGGAUGGGCUAGAGUUCGGGAGAGGAGAGUGGAAUUCCCAGUGUAGAGGUGAAAUUCGUAGAUAUCAGGAGGAACACCGGUGGCGAAGGCGGCUUUCUGGACGACAACUGACGCUGAGACGCGAAAGCGUGGGGAGCAAACAGG
rnacentral:rRNA from 1 species